GUGGGUAGUUUGACUGGGGCGGUCUCCUCCUAAAGAGUAACGGAGGAGCACGAAGGUUGGCUAAUCCUGGUCGGACAUCAGGAGGUUAGUGCAAUGGCAUAAGCCAGCUUGACUGCGAGCGUGACGGCGCGAGCAGGUGCGAAAGCAGGUCAUAGUGAUCCGGUGGUUCUGAAUGGAAGGGCCAUCGCUCAACGGAUAAAAGGUACUCCGGGGAUAACAGGCUGAUACCGCCCAAGAGUUCAUAUCGACGGCGGUGUUUGGCACCUCGAUGUCGGCUCAUCACAUCCUGGGGCUGAAGUAGGUCCCAAGGGUAUGGCUGUUCGCCAUUUAAAGUGGUACGCGAGCUGGGUUUAGAACGUCGUGAGACAGUUCGGUCCCUAUCUGCCGUGGGCGCUGGAGAACUGAGGGGGGCUGCUCCUAGUACGAGAGGACCGGAGUGGACGCAUCACUGGUGUUCGGGUUGUCAUGCCAAUGGCACUGCCCGGUAGCUAAAUGCGGAAGAGAUAAGUGCUGAAAGCAUCUAAGCACGAAACUUGCCCCGAGAUGAGUUCUCCCUGAGACUUAGAGUCUCCUGAAGGAACGUUGAAGACGACGACGUUGAUAGGCCGGGUGUGUAAG
rnacentral:rRNA from 2 species